UAUCUGCGCAUGUAGUAAUGUAAUUUUAUGCCAAUGUCAGCACAUUACAUUGGCAUAAAAUUACAUUACUACAUGCCCGGAUA